rnacentral:lncRNA from 1 species
GUAAUGUCUUUGAAGCCCCUACUCUUCCCCUAUCUUGGCCCUGUGCUCUUCCAGAUGAUUGGUCCGUGGAAUGGGAUCCGUCCUCGGCCAACACCGAUGAUUCCGAGUGAUGUCGUGCCCGGGCUUAGCAUGGCAUCCGUCUUGACAAUGAGUUAGGAAUCGCCGAGUAUGUUUUCUGCUGCUAAGAACCUUAACUUUAACAGUUUGUAAUAAUCUCUCUGCGUUGAAACUUCGUACUGCUUUUAGAACUCUUGUAAUGUAAUUCCCUAUGAUGUAAAAUAUGAUGGUGACUGUAUCUCUGGACUCACCUUCGUGUGAGGUAACCUUAUUUGAUCCUGUGUAUCGGUGGUUUAUCGGGACGUUACCCGACAGGCCAAGGGAUUACACCGUUUGAAGCACGUUGGAGCCCUCGGGAGUGGACUCGCGUACUUGAGCCGGUAUAAUUCAGGU